AUCUAGCCCCGAUGGAAGUGAGUAUCCCACGCUUUUGGGCGUGGAUACUGCGUACAGCGGGACUACAC
rnacentral:sRNA from 1 species